GAAAAAAUAUAUAUAAAAUUUAGGUGGCACUUCCAAGCAAAAGAAGCAGAAUCCUUGUUUUCACUGAGUAGGACUUGGGAUUUUAUACUCUCUACUCUCAUCAAAGUGGCUCAUGCUGAACGGCAGAAAGGUCAGUUCUGAUUUAGUUGAUAGCACCAAAACUUUGCAGAAGAGAUUAAACAGAACAUGGAUGGAGAAGACUUUGUUCAAAUGGUGGGCACAAGAAGGCUCCAGAAGAGCAUUCUAAUCUACAAGAGGAAGGUAUAUAGUUUUUCAGUUGAUUUAGCAAGAAGAAUCAGCAAAGUUUAGACUGUUUGGGGGAUAGUUGGUUAAAAAUGGUUCUCAAAAGAGAGAGAUUAUUUUUGUACAUUGCUAGCCACUGGUUGGGCAAUUAGAUUAAUCAAGAGGGAUGGGAUGUCAUUGUUAGAGGUUACAAGAGGGGAUGAGGAGAAACAGCUAUGGGGAAGAAGGACCAUGUGAAACUCUCAAUCUUUCAGGGUCUCUUAUAUUCCAAGUACAGCCAUUCACUCACUUGAGAUAUGAAUUUUGUAAUGUGGCUAUUCAGUCUCACAACUCAAGAUUGGAUCAUGUGAUCUCUCAGCCACUUAGCUGUAAAAGGAAGCAUUACUGCUUCCAUUUCCUUUGGCCUUUCUCUCUGUCGUUUUCCAAUGGUACUAGUGUGAGUUUUUCUCUUUGAAUUCACAGCCCUUGAAGAGUUCUGUAAGUCUGGUUUGCCACAGAAUAAAGGCCAUCUUAACUAUCUAAGAUUUAAGACCUUUUCAAUGCAACAUCAUCAUACAAUUGACCAUGGCAGACACCUCUGGACCCCACGUUUACCUCUUGGUCUACCUCUGCUUUUAGCUGCUGCUAUGCUUCCAGGUAAGAUUGGGCCAAUAUCCUGUCAAGAAGCCCCAAAACUAGGGAAAUCCCCCACCAGUCUAAUCACAAGUUACGGAGCAGUUGGAGGAGAUAAAGAAAACUGCAACCUAAGGCAGACCACAGAGGCUGAUCUCGAACUCCUGACCUCAAGUGAUCUGCCUGCCUCGGCCUCUCAAAGCACUAGGAUUACAGGUAUGACUCACCACAUGUGGCCUGUUUCCAGUUAUUAAAAAAAUGUCUUUAGCCAUAUUUUAUACCCACUAUUUUUAA
rnacentral:lncRNA from 1 species